rnacentral:rRNA from 1 species
UAACCGGCGAUACCCGAAUGGGGAAACCCAGUGUGAUUCGUCACACUAUCAUUAACUGAAUCCAUAGGUUAAUGAGGCGAACCGGGGGAACUGAAACAUCUAAGUACCCCGAGGAAAAGAAAUCAACCGAGAUUCCCCCAGUAGCGGCGAGCGAACGGGGAGGAGCCCAGAGCCUGAAUCAGCAUGUGUGUUAGUGGAAGCGUCUGGAAAGGCGCGCGAUACAGGGUGACAGCCCCGUACACAAAAGCGCAUGUGUUGUGAGCUCGAUGAGUAGGGCGGGACACGUGGUAUCCUGUCUGAAUAUGGGGGGACCAUCCUCCAAGGCUAAAUACUCCUGACUGACCGAUAGUGAACCAGUACCGUGAGGGAAAGGCGAAAAGAACCCCGGCGAGGGGAGUGAAAAAGAACCUGAAACCGUGUACGUACAAGCAGUGGGAGCACAGGUUUACCUGUGUGACUGCGUACCUUUUGUAUAAUGGGUCAGCGACUUAUAUUCUGUAGCAAGGUUAACCGAAUAGGGGAGCCGGAGGGAAACCGAGUCUUAAUUGGGCGUUAAGUUGCAGGGUAUAGACCCGAAACCCGGUGAUCUAGCCAUGGGCAGGUUGAAGGUUGGGUAACACUAACUGGAGGACCGAACCGACUAAUGUUGAAAAAUUAGCGGAUGACCUGUGGCUGGGGGUGAAAGGCCAAUCAAACCGGGAGAUAGCUGGUUCUCCCCGAAAGCUAUUUAGGUAGCGCCUCGUGAAUUCAUCUCCGGGGGUAGAGCACUGUUUCGGCUAGGGGGCCAUCCCGGCUUACCAACCCGAUGCAAACUGCGAAUACCGGAGAAUGUUAUCACGGGAGACACACGGCGGGUGCUAACGUCCGUCGUGAAGAGGGAAACAACCCAGACCGCCAGCUAAGGUCCCAAAGUCAUGGUUAAGUGGGAAACGAUGUGGGAAGGCCCAGACAGCCAGGAUGUUGGCUUAGAAGCAGCCAUCAUUUAAAGAAAGCGUAAUAGCUCACUGGUCGAGUCGGCCUGCGCGGAAGAUGUAACGGGGCUAAACCAUGCACCGAAGCUGCGGCAGCGACGCUUAUGCGUUGUUGGGUAGGGGAGCGUUCUGUAAGCCUGUGAAGGUGUGUCGUGAGGCAUGCUGGAGGUAUCAGAAGUGCGAAUGCUGACAUAAGUAACGAUAAAGCGGGUGAAAAGCCCGCUCGCCGGAAGACCAAGGGUUCCUGUCCAACGUUAAUCGGGGCAGGGUGAGUCGACCCCUAAGGCGAGGCCGAAAGGCGUAGUCGAUGGGAAACGGGUUAAUAUUCCCGUACUUGGUGUUACUGCGAAGGGGGGACGGAGAAGGCUAUGUUGGCCGGGCGACGGUUGUCCCGGUUUAAGCGUGUAGGUGUGUGUUCCAGGUAAAUCCGGUUCACUUUAACACUGAGGCGUGAUGACGAGGCACUACGGUGCUGAAGCAACAAAUGCCCUGCUUCCAGGAAAAGCCUCUAAGCAUCAGGUAACAUCAAAUCGUACCCCAAACCGACACAGGUGGUCAGGUAGAGAAUACCAAGGCGCUUGAGAGAACUCGGGUGAAGGAACUAGGCAAAAUGGUGCCGUAACUUCGGGAGAAGGCACGCUGACACGUAGGUGAAGUGAUUUACUCAUGGAGCUGAAGUCAGUCGAAGAUACCAGCUGGCUGCAACUGUUUAUUAAAAACACAGCACUGUGCAAACACGAAAGUGGACGUAUACGGUGUGACGCCUGCCCGGUGCCGGAAGGUUAAUUGAUGGGGUCAGCGCAAGCGAAGCUCCUGAUCGAAGCCCCGGUAAACGGCGGCCGUAACUAUAACGGUCCUAAGGUAGCGAAAUUCCUUGUCGGGUAAGUUCCGACCUGCACGAAUGGCGUAAUGAUGGCCAGGCUGUCUCCACCCGAGACUCAGUGAAAUUGAACUCGCUGUGAAGAUGCAGUGUACCCGCGGCAAGACGGAAAGACCCCGUGAACCUUUACUAUAGCUUGACACUGAACAUUGAGCCUUGAUGUGUAG